rnacentral:rRNA from 1 species
UUCCAGACUCCUACGGGAGGCAGCAGUGGGGAAUAUUGCACAAUGGGGGAAACCCUGAUGCAGCGACGCCGCGUGAGCGAUGAAGUAUUUCGGUAUGUAAAGCUCUAUCAGCGGGGAAGAAAAUGACGGUACCUGACUAAGAAGCCCCGGCUAACUACGUGCCAGCAGCCGCGGUAAUACGUAGGGGGCAAGCGUUAUCCGGAUUUACUGGGUGUAAAGGGAGCGUAGACGGCAAGGCAAGUCUGGAGUGAAAGGCCGGGGCCCAACCCCGGGACCGCUCUGGAAACUGCCCGGCUGGAGUGCGGGAGAGGUAAGCGGAAUUCCUAGUGUAGCGGUGAAAUGCGUAGAUAUUAGGAGGAACACCAGUGGCGAAGGCGGCUUACUGGACUGUAACUGACGUUGAGGCUCGAAAGCGUGGGGAGCAAACAGGAUUAGAUACCCUCGUAA